rnacentral:rRNA from 1 species
UGGGGAAUCUUGCGCAAUGGGCGAAAGCCUGACGCAGCAACGCCGCGUGGGGGAAGAAGGCUUUCGGGUUGUAAACCUCUUUCAGGGGGGACGAAGCCACCGGGGUUAAUAGCCCACGGGGUGACGGUACCCCCAGAAGAAGCCCCGGCUAACUACGUGCCAGCAGCCGCGGUAAUACGUAGGGGGCAAGCGUUGUCCGGAAUCACUGGGCGUAAAGCGCACGUAGGUGGGCAGUUAAGUCAGGGGUGAAAGCCCGAGGCUCAACCUCGGAAUUGCCUCUGAUACUGGCUGUCUAGAGUUCGAGAGAGGUGAGUGGAAUUCCUAGUGUAGAGGUGAAAUUCGUAGAUAUUAGGAAGAACACCGGUGGCGAAGGCGGCUCACUGGCUCGAUACUGACACUGAGGUGCGAAAGCGUGGGGAGCAAACAGGAUUAGAUACCCCCGUAGUCCCUGAGCGGGCUGGCAAGGCGCAU